GCCGAUGUAGCUCAGUUGGUAGAGCGCCCGCCUUGUAAGCGGGUGGUCACGAGUUCGAGUCUCGUCAUCGGCU
rnacentral:tRNA from 1 species